rnacentral:rRNA from 1 species
UACGAAGGGGGCGAACGUUGUCUGGAUUUACUGGGUGUAAAGGGUGCUCAGGCGGUCUUGUAAGUCAGAGGUUAAAUCUCAAGGCUUAACCUUGAAACUGCCUUUGAUACUGCUGGGCUUUAGUACGGAAGUGGCGGAUGGAAUUCCUGGUGUAGCAGUGAAAUGCGUAGAUAUCAGGAGGAACACCGGUGGCGAAGGCGGUCCGCUUGUCCGUUACUGUCGCUAAAGCACGAUAGCGUGGGGAGCAAACAGG